rnacentral:rRNA from 1 species
CCCUGAUGUCAGCGGCGGACGGGUGAGUAACACGUGGGUAACCUGCCUGUAAGACUGGGAUAACUCCGGGAAACCGGGGCUAAUACCGGAUGCUUGAUUGAACCGCAUGGUUCAAUUAUAAAAGGUGGCUUUUAGCUACCACUUACAGAUGGACCCGCGGCGCANUAGCUAGUUGGUGAGGUAACGGCUCACCAAGGCAACGAUGCGUAGCCGACCUGAGAGGGUGAUCGGCCACACUGGGACUGAGACACGGCCCAGACUCCUACGGGAGGCAGCAGUAGGGAAUCUUCCGCAAUGGACGAAAGUCUGACGGAGCAACGCCGCGUGAGUGAUGAAGGUUUUCGGAUCGUAAAACUCUGUUGUUAGGGAAGAACAAGUACCGUUCGAAUAGGGCGGUACCUUGACGGUACCUAACCAGAAAGCCACGGCUAACUACGUGCCAGCAGCCGCGGUAAUACGUAGGUGGCAAGCGUUGUCCGGAAUUAUUGGGCGUAAAGCGCGCGCAGGCGGUUUCUUAAGUCUGAUGUGAAAGCCCCCGGCUCAACCGGGGAGGGUCAUUGGAAACUGGGGAACUUGAGUGCAGAAGAGGAGAGUGGAAUUCCACGUGUAGCGGUGAAAUGCGUAGAGAUGUGGAGGAACACCAGUGGCGAAGGCGACUCUCUGGUCUGUAACUGACGCUGAGGCGCGAAAGCGUGGGGAGCGAACAGGAUUAGAUACCCUGGUAGUCCACGCCGUAAACGAUGAGUGCUAAGUGUUAGAGGGUUUCCGCCCUUUAGUGCUGCAGCAAACGCAUUAAGCACUCCGCCUGGGGAGUACGGUCGCAAGACUGAAACUCAAAGGAAUUGACGGGGGCCCGCACAAGCGGUGGAGCAUGUGGUUUAAUUCGAAGCAACGCGAAGAACCUUACCAGGUCUUGACAUCCUCUGACACCCUAGAGAUAGGGCUUCCCCUUCGGGGGCAAAAUGACAGGUGGUGCAUGGUUUCCUCAGCUCCUGUCCUGAAAAGUUGGGGUAAAUCCCCCAACAAGCGCAACCUUUGAUCUUAAUUGCCAGCAUUCAGUUGGGCACCCUAAGGGACUGCCGUGAAACCCAAGAAAAAAGGGGGGGGGAGAAUCAAAAAUAUAUUGCCCCUUUUUACUGGGGGUAACACCUGGUUAAAUGGGGGGAAAAAAAGGGGGCGAGCCCCCGAGGUAGCAAUCCCAAAUUUUUUCUUUUUUUGAUCAAUUCGCACCCCCCGCUGGACGGGGAAGCGAGAAAACGGAAACAACCCCCCGGGGAAAAUUUCCCGGCUUUGAACCCCCCCCCCCCAGUUGACC